rnacentral:rRNA from 1 species
UACAGAGGUCCCAAGCGUUGUUCGGAUUCAUUGGGCGUAAAGGGUGCGUAGGCGGCGCGGUAAGUCGGGUGUGAAAUCUCGGAGCUUAACUCCGAAACUGCAUUUGAUACUGCCGUGCUUGAGGACUGGAGAGGAGACUGGAAUUUACGGUGUAGCGGUGAAAUGCGUAGAUAUCGUAAGGAAGACCAGUGGCGAAGGCGGGUCUCUGGACAGUUCCUGACGCUGAGGCACGAAGGCCAGGGGAGCAAACGGG